UACAGAGGUCUCAAGCGUUGUUCGGAUUCAUUGGGCGUAAAGGGCGCGUAGGCGGCGGGGUAAGUCGGGUGUGAAAUCUCAGAGCUCAACUCUGAAACUGCACUCGAUACUGCUCUGCUUGAGGACUGGAGAGGAGACUGGAAUUCACGGUGUAGCAGUGAAAUGCGUAGAUAUCGUGAGGAAGACCAGUGGCGAAGGCGGGUCUCUGGGCCUGUGCUGACGCUGAGGAGCGAAAGCGUGGGGAGCGAACGAGGAU
rnacentral:rRNA from 1 species